UACGUAGGGCGCAAGCGUUGUCCGGAAUUAUUGGGCGUAAAGAGCUCGUAGGUGGCGUGUCGCGUCUGCCGUGAAAGCCCAUGGCUUAACUGUGGGUCUGCGGUGGAUACGGGCAGGCUGGAGGCUGGUAGGGGAGACUGGAAUUCCUGGUGUAGCGGUGAAAUGCGCAGAUAUCAGGAGGAACACCGGUGGCGAAGGCGGGUCUCUGGGCCGAUACUGACGCUGAGGAGCGAAAGCGUGGGGAGCGAACAGG
rnacentral:rRNA from 1 species